AGUGAACGCUGGCGGUAGGCCUAACACAUGCAAGUCGAACGGCAGCACAGUAAGAGCUUGCUCUUACGGGUGGCGAGUGGCGGACGGGUGAGGAAUACAUCGGAAUCUACUUUUUCGUGGGGGAAAACGUAGGGAAACUUACGCUAAUACCGCAUACGACCUACGGGUGAAAGCAGGGGAUCUUCGGACCUUGCGCGAUUGAAUGAGCCGAUGUCGGAUUAGCUAGUUGGCGGGGUAAAGGCCCACCAAGGCGACGAUCCGUAGCUGGUCUGAGAGGAUGAGCAGCCACACUGGAAGUGAGACACGGUCCAGACUCCUACGGGGGGCAGCAGUGGGGAAUAUUGGACAAUGGGCGAAAGCCUGAUCCAGCCAUACCGCGUGGGUGAAGAAGGCCUUCGGGUUGUAAAGCCCUUUUGUUGGGAAAGAAAAGCAGCAGGUUAAUACCCCGCUGUUCUGACGGUACCCAAAGAAUAAGCACCGGCUGACUUCGUG
rnacentral:rRNA from 1 species